rnacentral:rRNA from 1 species
CGUGUUGUGAGAUGUUGGGUUAAGUCCCGCAACGAGCGCAACCCUUGCCCUUAGUUGCCAUCAUUCAGUUGGGCACUCUAAGGGGACCGCCGGUGACAAACCGGAGGAAGGUGGGGAUGACGUCAAGUCAUCAUGCCCCUUAUGUCCAGGGCUUCACGCAUGCUACAAUGGCCGGUACAAAGGGCUGCGAUCCCGUAAGGGGGAGCGAAUCCCAAAAAGCCGGUCUCAGUUCGGAUUGGGGUCUGCAACUCGACCCCAUGAAGUCGGAGUCGCUAGUAAUCGCAGAUCAGCAACGC